AGCAGAUAUCUAUAUUUAUCAAAACAAUUUAUGUAUGAUAUCGUAUUAAAUUUUCAUACGUUUAAUAUAUUCAUACAGCAGCAACACUGGUGGAUAAAAAAACUUAAGUAAUAUAAUCACGAACCAGAAGGAGAAUGACGAUAAUAACACACGUUACGACGAUGGAACGUUUAAUCAUAAGUGUUGAACAACAUAUAUUUGAAAGUCAUAAUAAUAAUGGCAUUUAGAUCGCUUCGACAUCAAACACAUGUGCAGGCCGAUGUCACCGAUGAGGCAUUGGAAGAAUUGUUGCUGGAUAAUGAGAGGGCAAUAAUAGAAGCCCAACGAGCACGUAUAGUUUUUGAAAGGCAGGAUUUCAAUACAAGAAACGCUGCAUUUGAGAACGAGCCGAAGCAUGCCUUCCAGGCUAGGGGAAAUCGUACGAAAAUUGAUAAAAACAACGUAGGUGUUUUGCAGCCUGGUGACCACGUGUCGUGGCAUCGUAAUUAUAUCAUUUGGCAUCAUGCUAUAGUACUUAAGGUUGACAGACAUCGCAAUAAAUUGUUCGUAAUACAAUGGCAAAAAGUCAACGAUGGAAAUAGCAAGGGGAACAUUGUAGAGCAAUGGAUAGAUUCUGUAUCUCAGAAAGGUGAGUUUUAUCGCAUUGAUUAUGAAAAUGACGUGACUGAAAGCAAUCCACAUGCACUUGUUUUAUAUAGAGCACGAUGUGAAGUCGGUAAAACGAAUUACCAAUAUUUGAAAAACAAUGGUGAGACAUUUGCUACUUUCUGUAAGACUGGUAACCGAGACGGCUGCCAGGAAAACUGGUUUACGAAGAUUGUUCAGGAAGCGUUGAUUGUUGCUGAAAUUCGAUAAGCUAUUUUCGGAGUACAGUUGGUCAGCAAAUUUUCACGUGUGACAUUUGUUGCCACGGCCACAGUAUCACUUGCUUUAACAAUUGAAAAACUAAGUCGUUCGACGGAUGUUUUAGGGAUUGCAAUUGUUGUUGCAGUAGAAGGUGGUUUUAUGAUUUGGGACAUCAGUAGAAUAUACGAGCGAAGACAGGACAAGCGAACUACAAGAAAGGACUUUAUUGAAACAGCCACGCAAAGGUUUUUCGAAGCUUUAUUUGGAUCUGGACUAGCAAUCGGCGGUAGUAUUGGCGGUGCUGCGUUGGGUGGAGCCGUAGGCGGGUUUUAAGGAAGUUUUGUUAAUAUUGUUGGCUCGGACAUAGGGGCGUAUAUGGGUGCGUUUUUGUUUUUUUUGGAAGUGUCCAUGGUGGAUUUCUGGGAUCCAUAUCUGGUCGUGCAUUGGGCUCUUUGGUUGGGCCUUAUGCUGGUCAAGCAAUAACAAACUUUAUCAAGAGAGAUGACAGGGCUGUAAAUUAUAUCUCAGAUAUUUGCAGAGGAGACCAUCUAGUAUUUUCACCGUCAUGGAUUCAUCCUCGAUGCCUUGCAAUUGUAGUUGAUAUUGAUGUAAGCAAUAAUAUAAUUCUUGUGAUACGAAACAGCUACGCAUAUUGCGUCGUUGAGGAAUGGGUAGCGUUUCAAACACCUAUUAAUAAAGUGAUUUAUAGUACCGAUGAAGUUUGUAAUGCUGAAUUAGUCAUCACCCGUGCACGGUCAAAACUGGGUCAACACAACUAUUCUAUUGUUUUCGACAAUUGCAAAGACUUUGCGUGUUGGUGCAAGUUGUUAAUGUAAGAAUAAUUUUAUAUAUUCGUUUCUAAUAAAAUCGAAUAUGUAAUAAACUAAAUGAUAUAUAUGUGUUUAUCUAUGUUGAAAGUACAUAUGUAUACAGUUACUACGAUGUGUAAGGUUGCGUGUUCAGUUUGUCGAUGUAUUACUAUGGUAUUAACGCAUUUAGUAACGAUGUGUUAGGUUGCAUGUUCUUUUUGUUGCAUUAUUACUAUGGUAGUAACAAAUUCAGUCACGAUAUGUACAGUCGUGUGUUCAGUUUGUCUGAUUAUUACUCUGGUAUUCAUAUUAAAUUAACUGACGAUGUUUAAUGUCGCUCGUCCAGGUUUACAUUCAGUAUUUAUAUGGACUUGUUAUGCUGAAAAAAACUCACACAUUUAAAAAUCAAUUUAUACAUGAGAUUACAACAAGGAAAAUACUCCUGACAAAGAAAAGCAUUGUGAAAAUAAUAAAGUCUUUGUAAACCUUUUCAUGGAUAAAUUAGCAAUAACAUGUAUUACCAAUAUAUGUUUAACUAUUA